rnacentral:rRNA from 1 species
AUGAAUGUUGAUGCUGCAUUAUCUCGCAAUGGUGAAAGGGGAGCCCUGACAGUUGUGAGCCGGGAUCAUACAGGCUUCUUCCUUGGAGCAUCGACACUGGUGUGCGAAAAUGUUACUGAUCCAGAGAUCCUAGAGGCAAUGGCAUGUUGCCAGGCGCUAUCUCUGGCUCUUGACUAA